rnacentral:rRNA from 1 species
AUACGGAGGAUCCGAGCGUUAUCCGGAUUUAUUGGGUUUAAAGGGUGCGCAGGCGGCCAUUUAAGUCAGCGGUUAAAUCGUGGGGCUCAACCCCAUUCUGCCGUUGAUACUGGGUGGCUUGAUUGCGGUCGAGGUUGGCGGAAUUCGUUGUGUAGCGGUGAAAUGCAUAGAUAUGACGAAGAACACCGAUUGCGUAGGCAGCUGACCAGACCGCAAAUGACGCUCAUGCACGAAAGUGCGGGGAUCGAACAGGAUUAGAUACCCGGGUAGUCCGCACAGUAAACGAUGAAUACUUGUUUUCGGCGAUAUAAUGUCGGAGGCAAAGCGAAAGCGAUAAGUAUUCCACCUGGGGAGUACGCCGGCAACGGUGAAACUCAAAUGAAUUGACGUGG